rnacentral:rRNA from 1 species
UACGAAGGGGGCUAGCGUUGCUCGGAAUCACUGGGCGUAAAGGGUGCGUAGGCGGGUCUUUUAGUCAGGGGUGAAAUCCUGGAGCUCAACUCCAGAACUGCCUUUGAUACUGAAGAUCUUGAGUUCGGGAGAGGUGAGUGGAACUGCGAGUGUAGAGGUGAAAUUCGUAGAUAUUCGCAAGAACACCAGUGGCGAAGGCGGCUCACUGGCCCGAUACUGACGCUGAGGCACGAAAGCGUGGGGAGCAAACAGG